rnacentral:piRNA from 1 species
UUACAUCCACUUUCUGUGCCAACAUGCCAUA